CCUACGGGUGGCAGCAGUGAGGAAUAUUGGUCAAUGGCCGCAGGGCUGAACCAGCCAAGUCGCGUGAGGGAUGACGGUCCUCUGGAUUGUAAACCUCUUUUGUAAGGGAGAAAGGGGCGCCACGUGUGGCGCUAUGCGCGUAUAUGAAGAAAAAGCAUCGGCUAACUCCGUGCCAGCAGCCGCGGUAAUACGGAGGAUGCGAGCGUUAUCCGGAUUUAUUGGGUUUAGGGGGUGCGCAGGCGGAAUGUCAAGUCAGCGGUAAAAUUUCGGGGCUGAACCCCGUCGUGCCGUUGAAACUGGCUUUCUUGAGUGAGCGAGAAGUAUGCGGAAUGCGUGGUGUAGCGGUGAAAUGCAUAGAUAUCACGCAGAACUCCGAUUGCGAAGGCAGCAUACCGGCGCUCAACUGACGCUCAUGCACGAAAGCGUGGGUAUCGAACAGGAUUAGAUACCCGAGUAGUC
rnacentral:rRNA from 1 species